ACUCGUGGCCUGACGCAUCCGCGAGACUGCACGCGGCCAGGCGGGGGCACGAACGGGUUGGGGCAUGCGCGGGCAGCGUCGAGUGGGUCCCUUGGGGGUGGGGGUGGGGGGCAGUCGAACUAGGGAGAGAGUCUGUGGAAGGGCUCAGUUGUCACUUCACACCUUUCCCCGCUGUUUAUUGAUCUUUAACUCUCUCUGUGUGUCCUCUCUCUCUCUCUCUCUCCCUCUCCUCUCUCUGUUUCUCUCUCUCUAUCCCUUCCUGUCCACCCUUUGGGGCCAUCUCUUCCAAGAAACAACCGUCUCUCCCAGCCCAUGGGAAAUUGUCUCUCCUGCGAACUUAUCCAACCUGAGGGGGUCUCAUCCAUGCCGAUACCGGCUGCUUGUGGAACCUUGUAAGAGUUCUUCCCUCUCCCUGUAAAAUGGAGAUAAGCUGUGUGGUGCUGAGGCCAGCGCCGGGCACACUCACCCUCACCUUCUUCCUGAGAGAGGAAAGAGCCUGGAGACCUGGAUUCUACCUCUGCCCCCAACCCCUACCACAGGGUAGCCCUGCCACCACCUGCUGGUUCUUUGGGCAAGUCACUCUUUUAUUGGACUUCCAUUUCCUCAGCUCUAAAAUGAAGGAGGUGAGCCCAGUGUGGUGGCACCUGUAGUUCCAGCUACCUGCAGGCUGAGGCAGGAGGAUCGUUUGAGCCCGGGGGGCAGAGGUUAGAGUGAGCGGAGAUCUUGCCACUGCACCCCAGCCUGGGCAACAGAGCAAGACCCUGUCUUUAAAAAAAAAAGUGAUUAAAAAAUAAAAAUAAAAUGAAGGAGUUAAACAAACUCAGGAAUUUUGUAUGAAUGGCAUAAAUGAGCACAUUAGAAGGAAGCAACUUUCCUUCUCUCUUUUUUUCAAUCCUGUACAGGCCAGCUUCCCCUCUGCCCUCUGCUCCCCUCCUCCCUCCCUACCAUCCUCCAGCCCCCCAAAGCCCUCCCAAUUUGAGCCUCCUUUUGGAAAACAUCUCUGAGUAUGGUACCGUUGGUAUCGGUGACUAAGAGGCUCCAAGGAUACCCUUCUGGGGGAUUUCCAAAAUAAUGAGGAAGUCCAUUUCCAAAAUCAUGGGAAGUCCCAACUGGGCCUCCCAGACAGUUGGCCACUGAGUCUGUCCCCUAAAGGAUCUGCUUGACUUGCACAGUCUUAAAGGCAUCAUGUCUGGUUUUUAAACAUAAUUUCAGUUAGUAGCCAACAGUUCAGAUCAAGGGAUCACACGGCCUGUUUGACCUGUUCUUGCAGGGUCAUGCAUGCUCCACUGAGCCAUGGGAAGUGUCCACACCCAGCCAUGGGAGCCCUGUGGGAUCUGAAACUGACAUUUCUGCUUUAGGUGCCUUAAGCUGAAGAAAUGCAUAGUAGCGGGAAUUGGAGUGCAAGUGAGUGCAGUAGGGGAAGUAUUUUGCCAUAAGAAACCCUAAGCCUCUAUGGACAAGAAAUUCUCCAGGGGCAGACUGGCCUUGACCCCAGAAAUGUCACAUUGGACUCGGCCUUGGUUUUCCUCAUCUAUACAAUGGUCAAUCAGACUAGUGGUUUGUUUUUUGUUUGUUUGUUUGUUUGUUUUCUCUGUCGCCCAGGCUGGAGUACAGUAGUGCAAUCUCGGCUCACUGCAACCUCUGCCUCCUGGGUUCAAGCAAUUAUCCUGCCUCAGCCUCCCAAGUAGCUGGGACUACAGGUGCACGCCACCACAUCCAGCUGAUUUUUGUAAUUUUAGUAGAGAUGAGGUUUCACC
rnacentral:lncRNA from 1 species